rnacentral:rRNA from 1 species
GUGAGGAAUAUUGGUCAAUGGACGAGAGUCUGAACCAGCCAAGUCGCGUGAAGGAAGACGGUUCUAUGAAUUGUAAACUUCUUUUGUGCAGGAAUAAAGUGGGUUACGUGUAAUCUUUUGUAUGUACUGUACGAAUAAGGAUCGGCUAACUCCGUGCCAGCAGCCGCGGUAAUACGGAGGAUCCGAGCGUUAUCCGGCUUUAUUGGGUUUAAAGGUUGCGUAGGUGGAUUGAUAAGUCAGCGGUGAAAGGUUGCAGCUUAACUGUAAAAUUGCCGUGGAAACUGUCGGUCUGGAGUGCAAAUGAGGUAGGCGGAAUGUGUUGUGUAGCGGUGAAAUGCUUAGAUAUAACACAGAACUCCGAUUGCGAAGGCAGCUUACUGGGAUGCAACUGACACUGAUGCACGAAAGCGUGGGUAUCAAACAGGAUUAGAAACCCCAGUAGUCC